UACGGAAGGCAGCAGUGGGGAAUAUUGCACAAUGGGCGAAAGCCUGAUGCAGCUAUGCCGCGUGUAUGAAGAAGGCCUUAGGGUUGUAAAGUACUUUCAUCGGGGAGGAAAAACAAAACUAAUAAUUUUAUUUCUUGACGUUACCCGAAAAAGAAGCACCGGCUAACUCCGUGCCAGCAGCCGCGGUAAUACGGAGGGUGCUAGCGUUAAUCAGAAUUACUGGGCGUAAAGAGCACGUAGGUGGUUUUUUUAAAGUCAGAUGUGAAAUCCCUGGGCUUAACCUGGAACUGCAUUUUGAAACUGAAAUACUAGAGUAUCGUAGAGGGAGGUAGAAUUCUAGGUGUAGCGGUGAAAUGCGUAGAUAUCUGGAGGAAUAUCUGUGGCGAAAGCGGCCUCCUAAACGAAUACUGACACUGAGGUGCGAAAGCGUGGGGAGCAAACAGGGAUUAGAUACC
rnacentral:rRNA from 1 species